rnacentral:rRNA from 1 species
AGGCCUAACACAUGCAAGUCGAGCGGUAGCACAGAGAGCUUGCUCUUGGGUGACAAGCGGCGGACGGGUGAGUAACGCGUAGGAAUCUACCUAGUAGUGGGGGACAACAGUUGGAAACGACUGCUAAUACCGCAUACGCCCUAAGGGGGAAAGCGGGGGAUCUUCGGACCUCGUGCUAUUAGAUGAGCCUGCGUGAGAUUAGCUAGUUGGUGAGGUAAAGGCUCACCAAGGCGACGAUCUCUAGCUGGUCUGAGAGGAUGAUCAGCCACACUGGGACUGAGACACGGCCCAGACUCCUACGGGAGGCAGCAGUGGGGAAUAUUGGACAAUGGGCGCAAGCCUGAUCCAGCCAUGCCGCGUGUGUGAAGAAGGCCUUCGGGUUGUAAAGCACUUUCAGAAGGGAGGAAAGGUUGUGUGUUAAUAGCACAUAGCUGUGACGUUACCUUCAGAAGAAGCGCC